ensembl:lncRNA
AUAAUUAGAAUACUGUAACGGCAUCCAAACACAAAGUCAAAGUGUGUCUGUCAGCAGUCUUACAUUUGAUGAUUUGCUUAUCUGACUAUGUUGCUUUUCCUCACCAGACACCCAAUUUGGCUCAUUUUGCACAGGAUUCCUCAUUGACAAAGAAAGAGGGAGUAAUGUCAGAAGAGGGAGGCGGGAAGGAGAUGAGGCCUAUGAGGACCCCGUUGAUUUGUGGAAAGUGAGCAGCAUUUUAAUUCCACGAAACCAAGGCCAGCAGACUGCAGAUGGACCAAGUGUAAGCUGAAGACGGAGGCUCGGAGGCGGAGACAUGGAGGAAAAAGCCUUCCCCUCUUGGCAGACGUGUUAGUCGUCUACUGGGCUGCUGUGAAGACCAGAGGGGCUCGGGCUGGAUCUGUUAUGAGAGCUGACCACCGCGAUAACAACAGCCAACACACUCACCUGUGCUCUAUUUAAUGUAACAGUCACCUCUGCCGGAGGGCGGCACGGUGUGUUUGUCUGUUUGGGUGUGUCUAUGGUGAGUGGUGGUGGAGGGGAGGUUAUUACUCCUCUGACUUUUGUGUCCAAACGAAGCCUCCAGAUUCCUCCAGACCAACACCUCCCUGAGGAGAAAGGAUCAGACGGUCUGGAAAGAGGAAUGAAUGAACUGCUGUGUGUGUGCGUGCGUGUGGGUUUGUGUGAACGUGCAUGACCAGCAGCAGCCGUGUUGGAGGGUUUGACAGCCUCUCCUCCAUUACAUUUCCUUGCUUCUCUUUGCACUGCAGCUCCUCUUUGUCCCUCUCCAUCUUCAUCGUGAAUAAAGCCUGAUUUUUCCAUUUCUGCUUUAAACUGUUAAUAGCCUAUAUGUCAAUACCAGCAGUCUUUCCC